rnacentral:rRNA from 1 species
GACAGAGGGUGCAAACGUUGUUCGGAAUUACUGGGCGUAAAGCGCACGUAGGCGGCUUUGUAAGUUAGAGGUGAAAGCCCGGGGCUCAACUCCGGAAUUGCCUUUAAGACUGCAUCGCUCGAAUUGUGGAGAGGUAAGUGGAAUUCCGAGUGUAGAGGUGAAAUUCGUAGAUAUUCGGAAGAACACCAGUGGCGAAGGCGACUUACUGGACACAUAUUGACGCUGAGGUGCGAAAGCGUGGGGAGCAAACAGG